GACAGAGGCCUCAAGCGUUAGGCGGAAUCACUGGGCUUAAAGCGUGUGUAGGCGGGUCGUUAAGUACCUUGUGAAAUCCCACGGCUCACCCGUGGAACGGCUGGGUAUACUGGCGAUCUUGGGCCAACUAGGGGCGACUGGAACAAGCGGUGGAGCGGUGAAAUGCGUAGAUAUCGCUUGGAACGCCGAAGGUGAAAACAGGUCGCUGGGGUUGUGCCGACGCUGAGACACGAAAGCCAGGGGAGCGAACGGG
rnacentral:rRNA from 1 species